rnacentral:tRNA from 1 species
GAGCCGUUAGCUCAGUGUAGAGCAGUUGGUUCUUAACCAACGGGUCCUUAGGUUCAAAUCCUGAGACGGCUCACCA